rnacentral:rRNA from 1 species
ACUCCUACGGGAGGCAGCAGUAGGGAAUAUUGGUCAAUGGGCGCAAGCCUGAACCAGCCAUGCCGCGUGCAGGAUGAAGGCUCUCUGAGUCGUAAACUGCUUUUGUACAGGAACAAAAAAGCUUCUGCGGAAGUUCUUGAGGGUACUGUAAGAAUAAGCACCGGCUAAUUCCGUGCCAGCAGCCGCGGUAAUACGGAAGGUGCAAGCGUUAUCCGGUUUUAUUGGGUUUAAAGGGUGCGUAGGCGGUUUAUUAAGUCAGUUGUGAAAUCCUAGUGCUCAACGCUAGAACUGCAAUUGAUACUAGUAGACUUGAGUUAAGAAGAGGCAAGUAGAAUUUAUGGUGUAGUAGUGAAAUGCUUAGAUAUCAUAAGGAAUACCAAUAGCGUAGGCA